UACGUAGGGUGCAAGCGUUAAUCGGAAUUACUGGGCGUAAAGCGUGCGCAGGCGGCUUUGCAAGACAGAUGUGAAAUCCCCGGGCUUAACCUGGGAACUGCAUUUGUGACUGCAUGGCUGGAGUGCGGCAGAGGGGGAUGGAAUUCCGCGUGUAGCAGUGAAAUGCGUAGAUAUGCGGAGGAACACCGAUGGCGAAGGCAAUCCCCUGGGCCUGCACUGACGCUCAUGCACGAAAGCGUGGGGAGC
rnacentral:rRNA from 1 species